ACAAAAAAACCCAGCGAACUUCCAGCGAAAGUUCGCUGGAAAUUAAAAGAUCACUGGAAAUUUACUAAGAUCACUGGGUUUUCGCUGGAUUUCCAUGGAAACAAAAGACUUCGCUGGAAGUUCGCUGGAAAUCCAACGAAAAUCUUCCAGUGAUCUUAAAGUUCGCUGGAAGUUUACUGGGUUUCUUGCGAAAUAUUUCGCGGAGAUGAAAAAAGCGUUGCUGUUACAACUUCUGCAAGCAGUUAAAACUUGGAAAAUUGAUAAUAUAGCUUCUUAAAAUAGUAUUUCAAAUUUUUGUAUAAAAGUAAUCCUUUUUAUUUUAUUUUUUGCAUCUAAUAGAUGAUCUAUAGUGUGAGUUUCAAUUAUUAUUAGUUCUACUCAAGUUACAAAACAAAAUCAUCUGGUAGUUUAAUGAUUAUAAUGGUUGCCAAUGGUGUUCUUCUCAAGGGGUAAGAGUUAAAAAAAGGUAGGAGGUCUUGUAUGACUUAUCCAUUUUCUGAUGUUAAUGGGAGUUGUAGAAACCAUACAGAUUGUUUUUGGAUUAAUGUGAUUAAAGGGUUUUUAGAUUUUUCUACAUUUGUAAGAGUACCUAAUUUUAAUUGUGAAAAUGGAACAGUUGUUAAUAAUCUGCACUGUAUUGAGCUUGGUGUUAUGAAAGCUAUGUUUUCUUUCUGAUUUGAUAGUUAUUAUUCUGGUUAUAUUUUUUCUAUUUAAAGACACUGUACUGUUGUAAAUAAUCUUUUAUCUGCAAUCAGUGUGCCAAGCAAUAUAAGACAGACUCGAUGAUCAUUAAGUUGUAUAAAGCAUUGGAAAGG